rnacentral:rRNA from 1 species
UACAGAGGUCUCAAGCGUUUGUUCGGAUUCAUUGGGCGUAAAGGGUGUGUAGGUGGCGCCGUAAGUCGGGUGUGAAAUUUCGAGGCUUAACCUCGAAACUGCAUUCGAUACUGCGGUGCUUGAGGACUGGAGAGGAGACUGGAAUUCAUGGUGUAGCAGUGAAAUGCGUAGAUAUCAUGAGGAAGACCAAUUGCGAAGGCAGCUCGCUGGAACGUAACUGACGCUGAGGCGCGAAAGCGUGGGGAGCAAACAGG